GAUGAACGCUGGCGGCGUGCUUAACACAUGCAAGUCGAGCGAGAAACUACAUGCAGACACUUCGGUAGAAGCGAGUAGCGGAAAGCGGCGGACGGGUGAGUAACGCGUAGGCAACCUGCCCUUCACAGAGGUAUAGCCUCGGGAAACCGGGAUUAAAACCACAUAAAAUCAUAGGUUCGCAUGAACCAAAGGUCAAAGAUUUAUCGGUGAAGGAUGGGCCUGCGUCUGAUUAGCUGGUUGGUAGGGUAAAAGCCUACCAAGGCGACGAUCAGUAGCCGACCUGAGAGGGUGAUCGGCCACAUUGGAACUGAGACACGGUCCAAACUCCUACGGGAGGCAGCAGUGGGGGAUAUUGCACAAUGGGGGAAACCCUGAUGCAGCAACGCCGCGUGAGGUAUGAAGGCCUUUGGGUUGUAAGCCUCUGUCCUAGGGGAAGAAAAAAAAUGACGUACCCGAGGAGGAGCCCCG
rnacentral:rRNA from 1 species